GACGAACGCUGGCGGCGUGCUUAACACAUGCAAGUCGAACGAAGUGGCGAACGGGUGAGUAAUACGUGGGUAACCUGCCCUCCUUUUUGGGAUAAGCCUUGGAAACGGGGUCUAAUACCGAAUAAAGGGGGAUGGGCUGGCGGCCUAUAAGCUUGUUGGUGGGGUAAUGGCCUACCAAGGCGGUGACGGGUAGCCGGCCUGAGAGGGUGACCGGCAACAUUGGGACUGGGAUACGGCCCAGACUCCUACGGGAGGCAGCAGUGGGGGAUAUUGCACAAUGGGCGAUAGACUGAUGCAGCGACGCCGAGUGGGGGAUGAAGGCUGUCGGGUUGUAAACCUCUUUCGCAAUCGAACGGGUAGCUGGAGAAGAAGCGCCGGCUAACUACGUGCCAGCCGCCGCGGUAAUUC
rnacentral:rRNA from 1 species